rnacentral:rRNA from 1 species
UACAGAGGUCUCAAGCGUUGUUCGGAUUCAUUGGGCGUAAAGGGUGCGUAGGUGGCGCCGUAAGUCAGGUGUGAAAUUUCGGAGCUUAACUCCGAAACUGCAUUUGAUGCUGCGGUGCUUGAGGACUGGAGAGGAGACUGGAAUUCACGGUGUAGCAGUGAAAUGCGUAGAGAUCGUGAGGAAGACCAGUGGCGAAGGCGGGUCUCUGGACAGUUCCUGACACUGAGGCACGAAGGCCAGGGGAGCAAACGGG